GUACGCUAUUCAGAGUUUGAUCCUGGCUCAGGAUGAACGCUGGCGGCGUGCUUAACACAUGCAAGUCGAACGAAGCAAUUACGACAGAAUCCUUCGGGAGGAAGAUGUAAUUGACUGAGUGGCGGACGGGUGAGUAACGCGUGGGUAACCUGCCCUAUACAGGGGGAUAACAGUUAGAAAUGACUGCUAAUACCGCAUAACCCGCUAGUAUCGCAUGAUACAGACGGAAAAGAUUUAUUGGUAUAGGAUGGGCCCGCGUCUGAUUAGCUAGUUGGUAAGGUAACGGCUUACCAAGGCAACGAUCAGUAGCCGGCUUGAGAGAGUGAACGGCCACAUUGGGACUGAGACACGGCCCAA
rnacentral:rRNA from 1 species